rnacentral:rRNA from 1 species
GAUGAACGCUGGCGGCGUGCCUAAUACAUGCAAGUCGAGCGGACGGACCAGACGCUUGCUUCUCUGACGUUAGCGGCGGACGUGAGAGUAACACGUGUAUCACCUCCCUAUAAGACUGGGAUCACUUCGGGAAACCGGCUCUAAUCCCGUAUGAUAUUUUGAUCCGCAUGGUGCAAAGGAGAAAGUCGGCCGUGCUGUCUGGUCUAGAUGCAUCCGCGCUUCAUUAGCUGGUUGGUAAGUUAACGGCUUACCAAGGCAAGGAUGCAUAGCCGACCUGAGAGGGUGAUCGGCCACACGGGAACUGAGACACGGUCCAGACUCCUACGGGAGGCAGCAGGAGGGAAUCUUACGCAAUGGGCGAAAGCCUGACGGAGCAACGCCGCGUGAGUGAUGAAGGUCUUCGGAUCGUAAAACUCUGUUAUUAGGGAAGAACAUAUGUGUAAGUAACUGUGCACAUCUUGACGGUACCUAAUCAGAAAGCCACGGCUAACUACGUG